UGGGGAAUAUUGCGCAAUGGGGGAAACCCUGACGCAGCAACGCCGCGUGAAGGAAGAAGGCCUUCGGUUGUAAACUUUGUCGCAAGGGAAGAAGACAGUGACGGUACCUUGUGAGAAAGCCACGGCUAACUACGUGCCAGCAGCCGCGGUAAUACGUAGGUGGCGAGCGUUGUCCGGAUUUACUGGGUGUAAAGGGCGCGUAGGCGGGCCUGCAAGUCAGAUGUGAAAUGCCCGGGGGCUUAACCCCGGAGCUGCAUUUGAAACUGUAGGUCUUGAGUGUCGGAGAGGAAAGCGGAAUUCCUAGUGUAGCGGUGAAAUGCGUAGAUAUUAGGAGGAACACCAGUGGCGAAGGCGGCUUUCUGGACGAUAACUGACGCUGAGGCGCGAAAGUGUGGGGAGCAAACAGGAUUAGAUACCCUGGUAGU
rnacentral:rRNA from 1 species